rnacentral:lncRNA from 10 species
GUUUAAGGUGUUUAUCUGUAGGAGAAAGAGCUUCUUGUCAAACAUGAAAAUAAGAGAGAAAGAGGUGGAGUUUCCUCACUGAAAUUAGUCAGUAACUCGCCGUGUCCAUUACGAACCCUCACAUUCAAUAAAGUGGAGAAUGCCAGGAUACUGCAGCAAAUGGAGUUUUGCUGAAGAUCAAAGCAACAUAAAUCAUAUUAUGCUUAUGUGCAUAAAUUAUGUCACAUAGGCUCGUGUGAUUAAACAGCACAGUCCCUCGUUUACCUGAAGUGGAACGUGAAAACAGCAGAGAAGCUACAGGCAGAACUUGCCUUAUGCGCAGAAGGGUACCCAGAAGUCUGCAAAGAUAAUUUAUAGGACAACUCCCCAAAUCACCCCACGUAGUCUUUCCUAAAAUUUCCAACAAUGCAAUUUCUUAGUACUUUUUUAAGAGAGGAUGAUGGUGGAUAGGAGGCAGGACUAGCUUGCAGUUCCUGCCCAGAUGCACAGAGCAGCGCGUGGAGACUCACAUAGUGAACUUUUGCUCCAAGAACUAUCACAGGAACAUAGCAGGAAAGCCGAGAGAAUCCACAGACCCUUUGAAGGAACGGAAUCACUGCUGCAGGCUCUCCAAGAUGCCAAAAAAACUAAACACCACUUUACUGGCCGAGGACUGCCUUUCCUGUGGAAGGAAAAGUUAUGCUAAGCUGAGUGCUAAAGUCAAAGAGCUGCAGAGCCACUCCUGCUGUUUUCAAUUAGCAUGCCAGUCCCAAUGGCAUGUCCGGCAGACGGUGUUUUAUUAAGGGUGGGUCAUCUCCUCCUCCAAGCCACGUGAACAGCCUGCGGUUCUACAUGCUUCCCUUGACCUUCCAGUCCCUCUGGAGUCGUGUGACUGCUGGAAGCUGAAGCCACAGCUGUCUGCCACUUGACUCCCAAAGCUCAGUGUGAUCUGCAAUCUUCCCUUGGGACAGAGAAGGAAAGCAAGUUGAUGGAAAGAAAUGUCUCUUUCUGAAAUAAAAUAGUUUCUUUUCCUUGAGCAUGUUUGAGAACUUAAAUGAAGGUAACGAGCAUACAGAGAUGUGGAAGGUUAGUCAUGUAAUAAUGCUCAGCAGGAAUCAGGUGGGAAGUUCUGGUCCUCUCAGCUAAGGGACUGGUUCUGGGCUAAAGGAGAGUGGCUCUUUACGAAUUAGGAUGGCAAUCAUACUGAAAAGCUCGGCAUAUAUGACUCUGGAGAAGAGUGAGCUGACCUGGAAUUUAGCCUAAAGAAGAGAAGGUUGAGGGUGAUUUAAAGAGGAACUCUGGAGCAGGAAAUGUCAUUAUAUUAGGAAUGAGGACCAGAUGUUCUCAAUCUUGUCAGAGCACAAAGUCGAGACAAAGAAUGACUUUAUAGAAUAAGGCAGAACUCCAUGACCGUUGUUAAACACUGGAAUGGGGUGUUCGUGGAGGCUGUGGAAUUCUCCAUAAAAAUAAUUCCUUUGUCUCAUAUGAGCAUUUGUGUGUAGGUUUGCCUUAAGAAUUAAAGAUUAAUGAAACAAUCUCUAGGGGGUCCCUUCGUGAGUGUUUUUUGUAUCACAACAGUCUUUCAGAUAAAUAAGAAAAAAGGGC